rnacentral:rRNA from 1 species
AUUGAACGCUGGCGGCAUGCCUUACACAUGCAAGUCGAACGGUAACAGGUCUUCGGAUGCUGACGAGUGGCGAACGGGUGAGUAAUACAUCGGAACGUGCCCGAUCGUGGGGGAUAACGAAGCGAAAGCUUUGCUAAUACCGCACACGAUCUACGGAUGAAAGCAGGGGACCGCAAGGCCUUGCGCGAACGGAGCGGCCGAUGGCAGAUUAGGUAGUUGGUGGGAUAAAAGCUUACCAAGCCGACGAUAUGUAGCUGGUCUGAGAGGACGACCACACCAACUGGGACUGAGACACGGCCCAGACUCCUACGGGAGGCAGCAGUGGGGAAUUUUGGACCUGGGGCGAAAGCCUGAUCCAGCCAUGCCGCGUGCAGGAUGAAGGCCUUCGGGUUGUAAACUGCUUUUGUACGGAACGAAAAGACUCUGGUUAAUACCUGGGGUCCAUGACGGUACCGUAAGAAUAAGCACCGGCUAACUACGUGCCAGCCGCCGCAGUAA